AGUGGACGCUGACGGUAGGCCUAACACAUGCAAGUCGAACGGCAGCACAGUAAGAGCUUGCUCUUACGGGUGGCGAGUGGCGGACGGGUGAGGAAUACAUCGGAAUCUACUUUUUCGUGGGGGAUAACGUAGGGAAACUUACGCUAAUACCGCAUACGACCUACGGGUGAAAGCAGGGGAUCUUCUGACCUUGCGCGAUUGAAUGAGCCGAUGUCGGAUUAGCUAGUUGGCGGGGUAAAGGCCCACCAAGGCGACGAUCCGUAGCUGGUCUGAGAGGAUGAUCAGCCACACUGGAACUGAGACACGGUCCAGACUCCUACGGGAGGCAGCAGUGGGGAAUAUUGGACAAUGGGCGCAAGCCUGAUCCAGCCAUACCGCGUGGGUGAAGAAGGCCUUCGGGUUGUAAAGCCCUUUUGUUGGGAAAGAAAAGCAGCAGGUUAAUACCCCGCUGUUCUGACGGUACCCAAAGAAUAAGCACCGGCUAACUUCGUG
rnacentral:rRNA from 1 species